UAGUCAGAAUUAUUGCGCUCCUCUUUAAUUGAGCUCUGUUUGUUUGGCGCGCAUGCGCACGGCGGCGCUCGUUCACUGAACUCUUGACAGCAAAAUGCAAAUA